ensembl:snRNA U6 U6 spliceosomal RNA
GUGCUCACUUUGGCGUACAUAUACUAAAACGGGAAUGAUACAGAAAAUUAGCAUGGCCUCUGUGCAAAGAUGACAUGCAAAUUUGUGAAGUGUUCCAUAUUUUA